rnacentral:rRNA from 1 species
UACGGAGGGUGCAAGCGUUAUUCGGAAUUACUGGGCGUAAAGCGUGCGUAGACGGUUGCGUAAGUCAGCUGUGAAAGCCCCGGGCUCAACCUGGGAAUUGCAUUUGAGACUGCGUAGCUAGGGUGCGGAAGAGGGAAGCGGAAUUUCCGGUGUAGCGGUGAAAUGCGUAGAUAUCGGAAGGAACACCAGUGGCGAAAGCGGCUUCCUGGUCCAGCACCGACGUUCAGGCACGAAAGCGUGGGGAGCAAACAGG